GAGAGGGCAAAGUAUGCGCAGCCAAGCACUAUUUUGUCAUUUCGUCAAACAGUAAUAGGAUGAGCCAAGCUUAGUUGCCAGUCGAGAGAGAGACCAGCGACUUUGAGAGGAUACAACUACGAAGGAAAAUGGGAAGCAGAGCUUUGCUUCUACUGAAGGGAUUAUCUUGUUCCUCGCUACCCAAGAAGCUGCUUUUCCCAAAAGUCCUUCCUCCUCGUAACAUCAAUUGGGUUCGAACAAAUUGCUCGACACCCAAAAGCAGCGGCCUUCCUUUGGAGCCUCCGGACUUGCCACGCUUGGCCGAGACUGCUCGAAUUACUCUGACCCCUCAUGAGGUAGAAGAAUUUGCUCCCAAAAUUGGGCAAGUCAUAGAUUGGUUUGGACAGCUUCAAGCUGUUGAUCUUGAAACUGUGGAGCCCUCAAUCAGAGCAGAUACUGAAGGCGAUAGUUUCCGUGAAGAUAUUCCUGAAACGUUUGAGAACAGGGAGGCCAUGAUUGCUGCCGUUCCAAACUAUGAGGAGCAGUAUAUUAAAGUUCCCAAAGUCUUGAACAAGGAGUAGCACUAUUGCUAUUAGAUUUAGGAAAGACUUCGCUUCCUUUUGAUCGUUAUACUGAAAAAUUUGUUGUCUCAGAUCUUGUUUUUCGAUAAUGGAUGGUUAUUAGGAAUUUGAAGGUAGUUUUAGCUUGAGGACAUAUCAGGGAAGAAGUCUUUCACCUAGAACUUUUCGUCAUUUCAAGGAAAUUGAAUCCCAAAGUAUGUUAGUUCAAAAAUAUCCAUAACCAUGACUGGUGCAGAACACCUGAAUAGGUCGAAGGUGUGGAGUGCGGAAAGGCAACCGAACUUAGGAAGAGAUUCAAGAACAGUAUGCACCUGCGCACCCGGUGAUGGUUCCCGUGUACAGUAGCUAGUCUAAGCCAAGACUGAGUUUUAACAAGUGAUGAAUUCUGAUGCAAAUCUUCAUUGGUUCAUCACCGCACCUCAGAAACCAUAUUAUUAUCUUGUUUUUUCUAAUUGUUAGAGGACCUCAACUGAAAUACAGGAUCCACAAUUUUUAAUGUCCUUCAAAUUAUACAUGUGUUAGCUGAGCGAGCCGGAGUAAGAAGCAAAUACAUACAUAGAUCUACAGAGUAUCAAAACUUGAAUCCAUGUUUUGAAUUGGGUGAUGAAUAUUGUGAACGAAUUUGUACAAGUUCA